AAAAGGAUUCAAUUCUUUCUCCCAAAAAAUAAUAGUUGAUUCUCCUUUUGUUCUUAACCCUAGAAAUCAAACCUCUAUCAUCAAACUUACCAACAAUAACUAUCUUGCUUGGAAAUUUAAAGCUAUCUAUGUGAUUCAAGGAUAUGAACUUGAAUACAAAACUCAACUACAAAUGCUCAAGAAGGGAGGUUUGUUGAUGAAAGAUUAUCUAACUAAAGUCAAGAAUAUGAGGAAUGUCCUCCAAUCCCCAUCAUAAUGCAUCCCAAGCAUUGAAGGAUGCUAAUGACCGCUGGACGAAGGCCAAUGACAAGGCCCGAGUCUAUAUCUUGGCAAGUCUACCUGACGUUCUUACUAAGAAACAUGAUGCCAUGAUGUUUGUAAGUUAGAUCAUAGAGUCUGUCCAAGAGAUGUUUGGACAAUCGUCCAUUCAGAUUUGACACGAGGCCCUCAAGUACAUUUACAAUGCGUGCAUGAAGAAAGGUCAGUCAGUGAGAGAAUAUGUUCUCGACCUGAUGAUCCAGUUCAAUGUUGUUGAAAUGAAUGAAAUGAUCAUCGAUGAGCAGAGUUAGGUGUUCUUUAUUUUAGAAUCUUUUUCAAAGAGUUUUCUUCAAUUCCACAGCAAUGCAGUUAUGAAUAAAAUAUAGUACACCAUAACUACCCUCCUGAAUGAGUUAUAGACUUAUCAAUCCCUUAUGAAAAGUAAGGGGCCAGUAGAAAAAGAGGCAAAUGUUGCCCAUUCCAAAAAGUUCCACAAGGGUUCAUCCUCGGGAACUAGGCCUGCUCACUCAUCUUCUGGUUCUAAGAAGAUCCAGAAAAAGAAAGGAGGGAAGAGGAAGACUCCCGCUGCUGGGAAAGACAAAGGUAAAGGCAAGGUGGCUGACAAGGGUAAGUGCUUUCAUUGAAUUAUGGAUGGUCACUGAAAAUGCAAUUGCCCUAAGUACCUUGCCAAAAAGAAGAAAGACAAUAAGGGAAUUAGUUCCUUCCUACAGCUCGAAGAGGUUGAAAUGACACUCAAGGUUGGAACGGGAGACGCCAUUUUAGCUCUUCCAAUGG